rnacentral:rRNA from 1 species
UCCGUAGGCGGGCAGCUCAGUCAGUGGUGAAAGUUUGCAGCUCAACUGUAAAAUUGCCAUUGAUACUGGUUGUCUUGAAUUAAUGUGAAGUAGUUAGAAUAUGUAGUGUAGCGGUGAAAUGCAUAGAUAUUACAUGGAAUACCAAUUGCGAAGGCAGAUCACUAACAUUAUAUUGACGCUGAUGGACGAAAGCGUGGGGAGCGAACAGGAUUAGAUACCCUGGUAGUCC